CCCUAGUCCCGAUAGCAGCGGUUACCCCACAGCAGCAAGGGUCAGGCUUUGGGGCGAGGAGUAUGAGCGGAUAGCGGGAUACAGC
rnacentral:misc_RNA from 1 species